rnacentral:lncRNA from 1 species
CAUUUGUAUUUUUAUUGAUACACUACUGUAAAAGCCUAAAUGCAAGGUAUUCCGUUUGAAUAAAUUCAAAAAGCACUGCAGUCUUAAAUUACAAAAUGAUUUUAAAAUACAAAAUUUACAUGAAAUGACAAUACAAGGUUCCUGUAAACAUCAGCUAAAACCUGUAUUUCCCUUUUCUUUUACAAAACAUAUAUUUAUAGAUAUAUGUACGCAACUGUUAGGAAUGACAUCCAUUUCAAAGUAUCAAAAAUAGAGUUCUAAUGUCAGUCUGUGUUGCUUUUUACCAGUAUGUAAAAUGGGAACAUAUUGUUCGAUCUUUGGUUUUACAGAAGUGGAUGGCAGAGAGCGAACGGUUACUGAAUUUAAUGCUGCUCUUGUUUCUGGACUCAUGUGCCUCAUUCACACUAUAGGGCCAAACUGCGCCAAGCCGAGCUGUACUGGGCUGCCCUGUUUACGCAUCUACAUAGUGCUGGAACUGUGCUGGAAAGGACCAUGUGAAAAUGAAACAUCCAAGCCAGCACAGUACGGUUCUGAUCAGCUCUAUACUGUGAAUUAGGUAACAGUCUCACAAGCAGCACCAGAGCCAGCCCUUCCUCUUGUAACUAACGUCCUGCUGUCCAAAAUGUAUAUUCUCAAGUCAAUUAUUAACCCAGAAGAGCAUACAGACAACAAACCAGUAAUUCAUAUUCAACACAUGAGUUAAGGCCUUCCUAUAGUUUAAAUAAACAAAUAGUGACAUUCUCUCCUCACUAUUUGAAAAGGUUUUACACAUAAAACAAAAGCCAUGAGAUAUUAUUAUAAACAAACCAGUUAUUUUGUACUUGAUGCCAAAUAUCACGUUGUCAUGAUGCUUUCGUCAUGGUUUGCAUAGUAGCCUAAUGCAUCUGUGUGCUUGUAUUGUACAGAACUGAAAUUCAUUAUUAAAAAACACUUAUCUACAGUUUAUUGGGUACAAACGCACACAUCCACACACACACACUGAAUAUAAUCUACUAAGACGCUUGCACUGUGUCCUUUACAAGGCAGAUUCACUGACUGGCCCUCUGGUAUGCAGGACUAAUAAGUAUUGUGCUGAUACUCUAGAAGGCUGCGUUUAUAUAGGCAGCCCAAUUCUGAUAUUUGUUCCACUAAUUGGUUCUUUGACCAAUCACAUAACUUUAUCAGAGCUGAUCUGAUUAGUGAGAAAAAUAUCAGAAUUGGACUACCUGUGUAAACAGAGCCUUGAAGUAACAGAACCAAGCAUCUCUGCUGCAUCUACAACUAUAGGCAUCAAGGUUCUUAAAAAAAAAUGUUUUAAAUGUUUUUUAAAGGCAUCAGGCAGGUUUUUUUGUGUAUAGCAGAAUUAUUUUCUAUUUCUGAUUGGACUUGGACAGUUGUCAUCAGCAACAUCCUCUCAGAGAAAAAAAAUAUACAUGCAAGAAUAUACAUAUAUCAUUGUCCAAUCACAGAGAACAUGUUAAGGCAAUAGGAGUUGUUCCUACCCAGACCAAUCAACAUGUUAUAUUACAGCAUGACUAUGUAAUGUAUGGCAUACAUACAUACAUCUAUCCAGCAUUCAGAAUCACAUUCUGUAAACAUCCUUAUGAUGAUGUUAGACUGGAAUAUGUUGCUUUUUAACACUCAGCUUUGACAUUUUCUUUGGACUUUUUGGUGUUGUAAUUCUCAGGCAAACUGAAAAUCUUUUUAUUAUUGCUAUCAAUAUUCCAUACAUUUGCAGUCUGUAUAUCUCCCCAAGGAGAAAGAUUGACAAAUACAUAUUUUUGUUAAGGUACCAUCCUGAAGACAAAAUGAUCAUGUGUCGUGAUUGUUGUGAUGUGCAACACACAGGGGGCGUGGAAGAACCAACAACAUACAAAAAUGGAAGUUGUUUUUUAAAACUAACUUAACCUUGUUCGUCAGGGGUGGUGGAGGGGGGGGCUAUACAUAAAUACAGUAUAUAUAAAGGACUAUAUAUAAAAUACUUUUAUCAACAGUUUAAAUCUACAGUUUUCAAUGUGUUAUAUUAUUGCCAAUAGUAUAUGGAUUGAAGCUGCUUUACCCUCAGAAGGUAUGGUUGUUACAAAGUGGAAGGCACACAAGAGUCUCUGGGCCCAGUUUUUCAAAAGUUAUCUGAUCGGAUUUCUGCAAUCAGAUAAAAUGACAUGUUAGAAUUGGGGUUUUCAAAAGAAAACAAAAUUAUUCUGAUCCUCCAGAUUUGGUAAUCCAAUCUGACCAUUAAAAUCGGGAUUAAAUGUCGUUUUUGCAUUUUUUUUUUACUCAAAAAAGGUAGUGAUGAUGAUGGUUUUGAUGCCUAAAAUCUGGAUUAUUUUGAUCCCACUGGAAGGGUGUAUUCAGGGUGGAUUUAGAAAGUAUGGAUUAUCUUGAUCCCACUGGAAGGGUGUAUUCAGGGUGGAUUUAGAAAGUAUAGAUUAUCUUGAUCCCACUGGAAGGGUGUAUUCAGGGUGGAUUUAGAAUGUAUGGAUUAUCUUGAUCCCAC